rnacentral:rRNA from 1 species
UACGGAGGGUGCAAGCGUUAUCCGGAUUCACUGGGUUUAAAGGGUGUGUAGGCGGGUAGUUAAGUCAGUGGUGAAAUCUCCAGGCUCAACCUGGAAACUGCCAUUGAUACUAUCUAUCUUGAAUACUGUUGAGGUAGGCGGAAUAAGUCAUGUAGCGGUGAAAUGCAUAGAUAUGACUUAGAACACCAAUGGCGAAGGCAGCUCGCUGGGACGGUACUGACGCUGAGACGCGAAAGCGUGGGGAGCAAACAGG